rnacentral:rRNA from 1 species
AUUGAACGCUGGCGGCAGGCCUAACACAUGCAAGUCGAACGAGUGGCGGACGGGUGAGUAAUGUCUGGGAAACUGCCUGAUGGAGGGGGAUAACUACUGGAAACGGUAGCUAAUACCGCAUACCAUCGGAUGUGCCCAGAUGGGAUUAGCUUGUUGGUGGGGUAACGGAUCACCAAGGCGACGAUCCCUAGCUGGUCUGAGAGGGUGACCAGCAACACUGGAACUAAGACACGGUCCAGACUCCUACGGGAGGCAGCAGUGGGGAAUAUUACACAAUGGGCACAAGCCUGAUGCAGCCAUGCCGCGUGUAUGGAGAAGGCCUUCGGAUUGUAAAGUACUUUCAGCGGGGAGGCGUUACCCGCAGAAGAAGCACCGGCUGACUCCGUGCCAGCAGCCGCGGUAAUAC